UUGAAAUUUUUGUUCAGAAUCGCGUAUACACAAUAACAAAUACAUAGCAGUAAUGCCUUAAAGCAGAGGGCCACAUCUUCAGGGGGUAUAGGAGCUUAAGUUUCGUACAAAUGUAGAGGCAUUUAGAGUACAUGAAAAAACAUAAUUCCAGAACUAUAACAAACAGGAACACACAAGGUAACACAAAAUUGUGAGAAGUAGAAAGAACCCAUAUAUACUGGGGUAGUGCAGUGUCAAUCAUCUACUGAAACCAAAUUCAGUUGGUACACAUAAAAGAGAAGCAUUGUCCAUUAAACUCUUUAAGGCAAACUGUAUAGCAAAGGAUGGCUUGUAUGGUUUAUUUAGUGUCUGUGGAGUAAGGGGAGGAGAGCCAAUUGACCCAGCAGGAGGAAAACCUAGAGUAGGAACCAUUUCCUAGAGCUAUUGUUUUUUCGUACAUGCAGGUAAUGUUUAAUUUAUUUACCACUUCAGUGAUAGAGGGAGCUGUUGGUGAUCACUCUUUGGUGAUUGUGAUUUUAGCAAUAAUACAAAUGAUACAUGUCAGGUCUUGUAGUUUAGAUGGAAUGGAGUGCGUGUCAUUAAGGAGUAGUGUUGAGCGGCAUAGGCCAUAUUCGAAUUCGCGAAUAUUCGCGAAUAUAUGGAUGAAUAUUCGUCAUAUAUUCGCGAAUAUUCGCAUAUUCGUAAUAUUCUCGUUUUAUUUUCGCAUAUGUGAAAAUUCGCGUAUGCGAAAAUUAACAUAUGCGAAAAUUAACAUAUACAAAAAUUAGCAUAAACGGAAAUUUGCAUGUGCAAAAAUUAGCAUAUGCUAAUUUUCGCAUAUGCGAAAAUUCGCUCACCUGUCUCACACAGUAGUAUUAGAGCCUUCGUUACACCACACAGGCUGGAAGCAGAGAGGGGUGAUCACUGCGAUGUGUACUGUGAAAAAAAAAAAAAAACGAAUAUUGGUAAUUACGAAUAUAUAGUGCUAUAUUCGCGAAUAUUCGCAAAUUCGCGAAUAUGCGAUAUUCGCGAAUAAAAUUCUCAUUGCGAAUAUUCGCGAGCAACACUAAUAAGGAGCAGUGCAAAUUGUGGAGACCAGGAAACCCGAAGGCAUAGUACUGUUUCCAGAAGUGUAUUACAUGCUGUCCAGAAGGGAGUUAUAGUCGGACAUUCCCAUAAAAUAUGUAUGAGGCUGCCUCUUCCACCACAUUGUCGCCAACAAAGGGGAGAGGAGUCAGGAUAGAUAAGGCAUAAUGUUUCAGGAGUGUAAUACCACUGAAGGGUAGUUUUGGAUAGGGAUUCUAUGUGAGAUACACAUUGAAAUGCUUUAUGUGUAGUGAACGCCCGUGUCCAAUUCUGCUCUAUGAAACUUGGUGGAGUGUGUGAAGGUGGAGUUUAGUAUACUCAACCCUUCUCAACCCUAUCUUCCCCGAGGGUCACUAAGUCGAUCAUGGUAAAAGCUACUGUAUUCCUGACGGCCAAUACCCCCACUUUUGAUUUAGUUUUGUGGAUGAAGUGGCAAAUGGGUGUAAAGGAUGGGUGUUUCAAUCUAAAAGUGUCCUUCUCUAAGAUGUGUGUCUCUUGGGUGCUCAAUACAUCAGCUCCCAAUGAUAAAGCUUCCCUCCACAGGUACGCCCGCUUGUAGGGGCUGUUAAGACCAUUUACAUUAAUACUGACCAAUUUGAUUACCAUAAAGUAACAGAAACAGCAUAGUAAUAGGUGGCAAUAACAUAUAGGGGGUGGACCACGAGCAUUUCCCAGCCAGCGCGCACGGGUCCUUGUGGAACAGACAAUGCUCUAAAGACAAAAGAUCACAACACUAUCUCACAAAACAUAAAAACAUGGUAAAUAGUGCAAACCAAUGUAAUAAAUAACCAUUAAAGGAUAUAACCGGAGAAGGCCGAAGCCUAUCUUCCCGGGUGGGGGUAAUGUCCAUGCCGAAGCCAGACUAGACUUGUGAUCUAAGAAGCCCAUAAGAGAGAAUAGGUGUCAGAGAGUCCAGAGUCAACGAAUUAUGGACCAGUCAUCCUGUAAUCUGCGGAUGGACCCUUGUUAGAUUCCAGGGGGAGAUUCCAUUUUUGUAGCAGGAUCUCACCUUCUUCCGGAGAGCGUACUUCAUGAAGCGCAUCUUCACGGUGUAUCAGUAGGCGAACUGGAAAACCCCAACGAUACUGAAUGUUUGCUGAUCGUAGCGUGGAGGUGAUGGGUUGAAGGGCUCUGUGGAGUUGCAGAGCAGCUGCCGAGAGGUCAGUGUAGAUAGCCACGUGGUGAUAUGGGGCUGGAAGCCGACCAUUGGUACGGGCAAAGUUUAUCAUUUUUUUUCCUUGACGGUGAAGAAAUGUACCCUUGCUAGAAUGUCCCUAGGGAUGGAUUCGUCCAGAUGCUUAGGUCGGGGUACAAAUGUGCUUGGUCAAUUUAUAGCUCUUGCGGUGUACAUGAAGGCAGAGCAGCUUUAAUGAGGGAGCGGACAUAAGUAGGUAUUUCUGCAGCUGGUACAGACUCUGGUAUUCCGCACAGCUUAAUAUUAUUUCGUCUCCUGCGGUCUUCUAUGUCUGUGACUUUUGCUUUAAGCGUGGCUAUGUCGUCUUCCGCAGCAUUAUGAGAGUCUAUAACUUCAUUAUGAGAGGCAGCAAACUCUCCAAACUUUGUCUCAAUGUGAUCCACUCUAGCACCCAAGUCCUCUACUGCAGUAUGUAAAGGAUUAAUCAUAGUUAAAAUGUCCUUCCAUUUUUGCUAUGUGAGGAGCAUAGACUUCAUUUAGGUAUCGGUAACAGCAGUAUUAGUGACAGAGAAUAGUUAUAGGUCGUCUUCCUCUGCAGAAGGGAAGGCAGGAGCCGAGCUCCAGUCAGCUGUGGGUUGUAGUUUAAGCUUCGGGGAGUUGUGCAGCUGCACUACAGGGCUAUGUAGAAGCGUCUCCCCUUGCUCAGAGACUGAGGGAGGCCUGUGUGAGGGAGAAGCCGAGAGUACCUGUCGUCUACAGCGCAGAGAGGUGCCGGGGGAGGACGGUGCAGAGUUCGACAGCUCAGUGUUCCAUGGAAUCUGCAGGCUGUGUAACUUAGGAUCCGAGGUAGAUCUCCGGUGGGUGGCAGACAGUGGUGUUCUUCCGUCAGAAGCUUUGUUUCAUCUAUACUAAAACACUGCCAAAACCCCGACCAGAUGAAGUAUUUCUGUCUAAAAACCGGACAUCAUUUAGAAUGGUAACAUGUGCUUGGAGGUGUCUAUUCACACACUAGGAUGUUCGGAGCAGUUUUCUAUUCUCCCUGGAUAGGGAAUGGUUAAUGCUCUGAAAGAAGGAGAACACGGGUGUGUCUAUUUUAAGCCAGACUUCUGAAUUUAGUGCUGGUUAUUCAGUGCAAUACACUUUGUCUGCUUGUGCUAUAAUGCUGCUAUGAUGUCUUUGUAUGUUACUUUGUAUUUAUUUUGUCAUUUUAUCUGGGUUUUAAGCCAUGGUUAUACAGCAUGCUCCUUGUAUUUUAGUCUGUGUUACAUUAGUCGGUUUUAGGAUUAUGUUUGUUCGUUCUGCUUUUACUGUGUUCACACUGAGUUAGUCUUCCUAGUGUUAUCCGUGCUCUGUAUUUUAUAAUUCCUGUUUGGUCUCCUGGAGUCUAUUAAGACUCAUCCAGUUCUAGUCUUGUAUCUUGAGAAAUAUCAGUCAUGACACCCCUAACAAGUCUGAGUUUGGGAUGGGGGGGGAUUAUGGGCUAGUCCCGGAGUGCCACUUUUCCAGUCACAGCUGCCUAAUUAAUGCAGGGUAAAACUUUUCUGAGAGGGGGGUUGCCUGCAUACAUAUAACUUCCUGAAAGUCCCACAUAGGAUUUGUAACGAGCUGAGCAUUGCUGUCAGCUCAACAUCAUCCGAUGAGAAGAGUCUCCAUCAGCAUCAGCAAAUGCUUGUUAUAAAUCCUUCCUAGGUGUAAUGAAGUACUACCCUACACUCAUCAGGCGGUUGUCAAAGUGUCAAUAGUCCCUUCUGGGUAGGGAGUUGUCGGAGGUUAGUUGCAAAAAAAACAAAAAAAAACUAAGAACAAAUCAUAAUCUUGUGCCCAGCCGCCUCCUGGUAAAAUGCAGCCCUAGGCCUGGGUCUUGGUGGUCUAGUUAAAGAUACAGGGCUGCUUGUCACUACCACUAGAGGAGACUUACUAAAUAAAAAACAUUUUGGUCCCUUUACACCUAAUAUGAGCUAUUUUCAUCCAUACACAGUUCCCCUAGUGGUGAACAAUUUAAUUAAUUUUAAGUUGAAACGAUCUGAUAAAGAGACGUUUGUUAAAUUGUACCAAAAUUAUUAUCCUACUGUCCAGUUCACUGGCUCAGACUGCCCUAGUACAUGGCCAGAAGCCAAAAAACAAAACACCAUAAUUUUAUGGACUAACAUUAAAGGGGUACUCCAUUGGAAACAUCUUAUCCCCUAUCCAAAGGAUGUUAGAUGAGGGAACCCCUGCGAUCUCCGCUGCGGCUCCCUGUCAUUAGGUGCACAGAGCGAACUCCGCUCUGUGCUCGAUUACUUGCGAUGUAAGCUGCCAUGCCGCUUCCAAUCAAAUUUAUGGGAGGAGGCGUGAUGGUUAUGUACUAGGCAUCAUGCCCCUCACAUGAAUGGAAGCUGAAAGCUUCCGUCUUCCGGACGCUUCCGGGACCCCCGUGAUCUAACAUCUUAUGCCUUAUUCUUUGGAUAGGGGAUAAGAUGUUUCCAACGGAGUACCCUUUUAAGUCUUUACUCGUAGCCAUGAGUGAGGACUUUAUAUGA